AGAGAGAGACAUGCGCGCAUAUCAAUAAGCGGAGGAAAAGAAACUAACAAGGAUUCCCUUAGUAACGGCGAGUGAAGCGGGAAGAGCUCAAAUUUGAAAUCUUCAAGGUUUUACCUUGACGAAUUGUAGUUUAAAGAAGUGUUUUCUGCUGAAGUUUUGGUAAAAGUUCUUUGGAAUAGGACAUCAUAGAGGGUGAGAAUCCCGUAUUUGACCAUUAUUUUCAGCUUUGUGAUACACUUUCAAAGAGUCGGAUUGUUUGGGAAUGCAGUCCAAAAUGGGUGGUAAAUUUCAUCUAAAGCUAAAUAUUGGCGAGAGACCGAUAGCGAACAAGUACCGUGAGGGAAAGAUGAAAAGAACUUUGAAAAGAGAGUUAAACAGUACGUGAAAUUGUCAAAAGGGAAGCGUUUGACACCAGUGUUGUUUUCUCGAAAAUCAAUUAAAAAUGGCUCGAUUUUGUAUUGUUGAGACCAUUAAAAGCUCACUGUACAUUUUUCGUGUCUUUUUUAAUGCACUUUUCGUUUAACAAGUCAACAUCAGUUUCUUUUGUUGUAAAAGGGUCAUUGGAAGGUGGCUUUCUUUUCGGAGAAAGUGUUUAUAGCCUUUGGCCUCUGCAAUCGAAGAGACUGAGGUCUGCAGCGUAGACUCUUCGGGGUUAGAUACAUUUGUGCUAAGUUAUAGCUUUUUAUAGACAACUUGUUGACUAUAAUUAGUCUUGUAGCUUACUCGCUUAUGCUAUUUUACCUACGCUUAGGAUGUUGAAGUCAUCGUAUCGCG
rnacentral:rRNA from 1 species